GAAAGAAGAACUAGGUCUGGCAGUAGAUCAGAAUCUACCUGUUGGGGAAAACCAGAAAUAGGAAGAAGAGUUAUUAAUGGUUCAUUCUUGGCUGAGAAGAAUUCAGUAUGGAAUAAUUAAGAAUUUUGAAAUACUUGAGCAACAUUCCCUAAGAGUAUCUUCAGAACUGUAGAUCUGAUGUUUAUAUAAAAAAGGGUAUCUUGGUGUAUUAGUUAGGGUAAAGCGAGAUGUUACAACAAAUACCAACUUUUCAGUGGCUUAAUAAAAUAUAAAUUUAUUUUUCCCUCAUGUAAUAGUCCACUGCGGAUGUUUCUGGUUGGCAGACAGUUGUUUUUUUCUGUAUGGUAACUCAGGGACAUAGGCUCCUUCCAUUAUAGGGAUCCACCAUUCCCUAGGGCCUUGAAUUCUUCUGUUUCCAGUGGACAGAAUUGCAGAGAUAGGGUGGAGAAUGCAUACUUUCUUCUCAGUUACCUUGGCCUGGAUACGACACACAUCAGUUCUGUUCACAUUCCCACAUUCCAUUGGCCGGAACUAGAUGCGUUACCUCACCUGUCUGCAAGAUGUGUGUUCCAGGGGAGGGAAAUGGAAAACAUUAUCUGGCUGGGGAACCACAGGUGUGGUAACAGUCUCAUUUGUAGUUGGAAGGAGUAGAAAUUAGGAAUGCCUUAGUGGAGGACACUGUGUGAUAUCUGUCAAAUUUUAAAACAUACAUGUUCUUUGACCUCAAAAUUCCACUUCCAGCAAUUUUUCCUACAGAUAUACCCACAAAUAUAUACAUGUUUACACUUGGAGGAUAUACCUAGUAAUAUUGUAAUAGUAAAAGAUUGGAAGCAUUCUGAAUGUCCAUCAAAGGGGACUGAGUUGGAAACAUUCUGAAUGUCCAUCAAAGGGGACUGAGUAAAUUAUUGUUUAUCCAUACAUUGAAACACUGCAGCCACUGAGAGGCAGUGAUAUAUGUACUGAC
rnacentral:lncRNA from 10 species